rnacentral:rRNA from 1 species
UAGAUACCCUGGUAGUCCAUGCCGUAAACGGUGGGCGCUAGGUGUAGGGGCCUUUUGGGGUUUCUGUGCCGUAGCUAACGCAUUAAGCGCCCCGCCUGGGGAGUACGGCCGCAAGGCUAAAACUCAAAGGAAUUGACGGGGGCCCGCACAAGCGGCGGAGCAUGUGGAUUAAUUCGAUGCAACGCGAAGAACCUUACCUGGGCUUGACAUACACCAGAUCGCUGCAGAGAUGUAGUUUCCCUUGUGGCUG